GUUGACCUCGGAUCAGGUAGGAAUACCCGCUGAACUUAAGCAUAUCAAUAAGCGGAGGAAAAGAAACCAACAGGGAUUGCCCUAGUAACGGCGAGUGAAGCGGCAACAGCUCAAAUUUGAAAUCUGGCUUCUAAACAAAGUCCGAGUUGUAAUUUGCAGAGGAUGCUUUUGGUACGGCACCGAACAAGUUCCCUGGAACGGGACGCCACAGAGGGUAAGAGCCCCGUCUGGUCGGAAGCCUAGCCUCUAUAAAGCUCCUUCGACGAGUCGAGUAGUUUGGGAAUGCUGCUCAAAUUGGGAGGUAUAUGUCUUCUAAAGCUAAAUACCGGCUAGAGACCGAUAGCGCACAAGUAGAGUGAUCGAAAGAUGAAAAGCACUUUGAAAAGAGGGUUAAAUAGUACGUGAAAUUGCUAAAAGGGAAGCGCUUACAACUAGACGUGGGGAGUGUUCAAUCACCUAGUGUUCUUCACUGGGGCACUUGGGCGUUUUCCAGGCCAGCAUCGGUUUGCUACGGGGGAUAAAGACGCUAGGAAUGUAGCCCCCUUUGGGGGGUGUUAUAGCCUAGUGUGUAAUGCCCUGUAGCAGACCGAGGUCUGCGCAUUCUUGCAAGGAUGCUGGCGUAAUAGUUGUUAGUGACCCGUCUUGAAACACGGACCAAGGAGUCGUCCUCGUAUGCGAGUGUUUGGGUGUAAAACCCCUGCGCAAAAUGAAAGUAAACGUAGGUGAGAGCUUGUAACAGAGUGCAUCACCGACCGAUCCUGAUGUUCUCGGAUGGAUUUGAGUAAGAGCAUACGGGGCCGGACCCGAAAGAAGGUGAACUAUGCCUGCGUAGGGUGAAGCCAGAGGAAACUCUGGUGGAGGCUCGCAGCGGUUCUGACGUGCAAAUCGAUCGUCAAACGUGGGCAUGGGGGCGAAAGACUAAUCGAACCUUCUAGUAGCUGGUUUCCGCCGAAGUUUCCCUCAGGAUAGCAGUGUCGAU
rnacentral:rRNA from 1 species